ACACUUUCCUGGCAUGGGAGAUCAUGAUCAAGAAGGUGUUUCACCCAGAGUGUUUCAUCCGGCUAUGCUGACCCCUGCAAAUUCCCCAAAUGUGGGAAUCUUGACUGCAUAAUUUCUGUUAGUGGAGGACUGCGUUUGUGCUCUCUCCUG
ensembl:snRNA U1 U1 spliceosomal RNA